GUAGGAGAGAAAAAGAAACAACUAUAGUGAAGUGAUCAGUCAUUUCAUUUUUUUUUUUUUCAAGCAAGGGCUGUUUUGAAAGAACUCAAAAAAAUAAAAAUAAAAACAAUGUGAGGUUUAAUAUAUUGCUAGACUUGUCCAACAGACAGAAAAUUAGAACUCUGAGAACUUGGAAACACACAGUGUAGUUCUCUGCCUUUGGGUUUAAUAACUUAAUUAUAAGGGAUUAGUCCUGAUGGCAGCAGUGGUUCAACUUUGUUCCUCUAUUUGGUCUUAUUGUUUUUUUAACUUAAAGAAAAUAACCCGGGAACUUGACAUCAUAUGCAUAGACUGUGUUUCUUAACACACAAAUGGACAUACUAUACUUGCGUAUAUAUAUGGGAUAGACAGGUUUUGUCUCCAACUUCAUUGUUUAUGAAGUCAUAUUUUGGGUUUUACACCAUCUCCCCCCCAUAAGUUAUUACAGAAAAAUAUCAGUUUAGAUUGGACAAAGUUCUUCCCCCUCUCAUUAAAAAAGACAAAUGAAGGAGAGGGAUACAUUUUAAAUAUUUCCUUUCUCCCCCUUUGUUAAUAUUUCAGUGCAUUUUUUUUACCUUGUCUACAUGGGAAAUGGCUUACUCCCCACACAAUAGAAUAUUCUGGAAGGUGUAGGUAAGAAAACAAAACAGAAAAGGCAAUGGCUAUACUGAAAUUAACACCAUUAAAACUGUGAUCAGUUUAAAAAAUUAAAUAGUUAUCAGCACAAAAGGGCGUUAAAAGGGAAAACACUUUUUUAUUAACCUUAAAUGUUUCGGAUUUUAUUUCUUUGUUAGGUAUCAGAUAAAUGUUAUUUCAAACAAUUAAAUUCUCACUACCAUAAAAUUAUGGUUCAGCAUCAGAUUAGCACUGCACUCCGUAGUUAAGGUUUUAGGAAAAAUGCUUUAUCCAGUAUUGUCUUUACAAACAUCUGUGAUUGUUUCAUUUUCAAUGUUUUUACAAGAUAAAUGGUGACUUAUAAUGGGCAUAUUUAUUUGCCUGUAUUUCAUUUCCCCCAAUGAAUGUCACAGGAGAUGCCAUAGAGCUAUUUCAGGUUAUAUCACACUGCUUGUUCCUGAUGUGUGGGGACUGGCCUUCAGUGAAGCAAUCCAGAGAAGGGCAAAUAGCCAAUGGUAAAAGGAGGAAAUGAAUGUGCAGAUACCAAGUAGGUAAGGUCCGAAGCUGGGGUUCUCUCUUGCUCUCUUAGGCUUACAAAGAUGGACAUUACCACUGAACCUUACCAUAUGUAUAUAUGUUUAAUAUCUGUCUUUUGAAAUGCAGAAAUAGUUUAAAUGUUUCUUUGUCUAUUUUUCUUUUUCUUUUUUUUAAAUGCUACCCAGGGAAAUAUUUUCAUAUCGUUUUACGUGGCCUGCCUCAAUGUAUAUUUAUUUCUUUGGAGCAAAAAGGUUCUGAAAACUGGUUUUCUGUAGCUUUAAAUGAGUAGGUAGCAAGAUCUAUAUGGGAUGUCAUUUUUUUGUUCAGUUUCUUUUUAAAAAAUGCUUUGUUUUGAUACAUUUGGUUGUGCUUGUGGGGAAAAUAAAAGCGCAGAGAUCCUUAUAUAUUUAUGUUAAAGUAAUAUUUUAUUAUUACAUAAAACAGAAAUGCACAAUACCUUCAUAGUUUGUUCUAAUUAUUGAAAUAUCUUUAUUUUAUUUUUAAAGAUAGUGCCAAGUUCUAAGAAUCGAGGAAGCCCUACCUAGACCUGACUGAGCUGAGUUGUGUAUAAAAUAGUUCCCUUCCUUUAUACGUCAUAAAGUUUUGGAAUAAAUUUUAUGCAUAUAUUGCCAGCUUUCAUGUUUAUAACUUCCAGAGGCAUUUCCUUGUUUUUUUGUUUUUUUUUGUUUUUGUUUGUUUGUUUGUUUUAAUGAAGACUGUUCAGACUUUUCUUUGCAGAAACUAUCAUGGGGCCCAAAUAUUUUCUUCACCACCCUGUAGAAUUAAAUCAAAGGAGUCAUUGGGUUUCAGCUUCAAUUUGUUUGCCAUUUCCUGAACAAACGAAUAAACAUACUUGCCUUGUAAAUAAAUACAUGCCCAGGUCCCUAUGCCUUUUCCCCAGGUUAGCCGCACCUUUGCCAAUGGGUUGUUGAGGAAAACAUCAGUGGAACUAGAUGGACCUUAGCCUCUGCCACAGGUUCUUAGAUAACCUGGGACCUUCAGAAAAGUGAGACUUAGAAAGGAAUUAUUAUGCAUAAUUAACAAAUAUCUUUCAGCAACAAAAAUCUUGACAAAAUAUGCCAUAUACCAUAUUACCAACUGAUUAAAAGUAGAUUCUACACAUUAUUCCUGUUAGGUUUACAGGGAAAAAUACUUUUUACAAAGGUUUUUACAACAGUGUAUCUCUCUCAUCAGGCAAACAAACAACAAGCUCUACAAUAAAAGAGGAGGGAAAGAAUGUAUUGGAGAGAUUCAAGCCAUGGUGGGAAUGGUUUGUUUCAGAAGGUUUUAGAUAGAGCUCUGCACCUAAAACAACAAACAAACAAACAAAAAGAUAGUGUUUAAUGAUAGUGAAGUGUCCAAUCAGUGUUGGAUUAGUUUAUAUAUUUGUUGGUGUAUUUAAAGUCCUUCUUGGAACACUGACGUAAAAUAUAAAUGUUCAUUUAGGAAAGUAGUUUCUGGGCUUAUUACAUCUGAUCAUCUUUUCUAAUUCCUAGUCAAUAUUACAUGGGCCCCAAACAGAUUCUACCAAAUGAUCUUAUCAAUAGUCUGAACAAGAAGUGACAGAAAGAAGAAGUGUUUUGUGACCACAGACAUGCUGAUGGGUAAAAUGUUUAAGCUAGGUAUAGAUUUGAGUUCUGGGUCAAUAUCCCUCCUCUGAAGGAGGAAAGCGAGCUGCAUCCGCCCUCUGCAGGGCGUUUGGACAGACCUUGAGAAGGCAUUUUUGUUCUUAGCCACAGGCGCUAUGAACAGACCUGGAAACAUCAUAUAUUAAACAGACACACUAUGUUCCCGACUCAUGCUGGCCAUUCAGGUCCUAAAGCUGCUCUGGUAACUUCCGUGCUAAGUCUUAGAAUGUAUUCCCACUAC
rnacentral:lncRNA from 1 species